GCUAAUACCGGAUAACAACAGAUGAUGCCUAUCAACUGUUUAAAAGAUGGUUCUGCUAUCACUCUUGGAUGGACCUGCGGUGCAUUAGCUAGUUGGUAGGGUAACGGCCUACCAAGGCGAUGAUGCAUAGCCGAGUUGAGAGACUGAUCGGCCACAUUGGGACUGAGACACGGCCCAAACUCCUACGGGAGGCAGCAGAC
rnacentral:rRNA from 1 species